rnacentral:lncRNA from 1 species
AUAACGUUACAUUAAAUGUCAUUAAUUAUCCAUAAUAACUCCAUUAUGGAAGAAGAGAAAUGUAUUACUUAGAAAUAUCUAUAAAAGGUGGGGAAUGGAUAUUUGUAAGCUUAAAAAAAAACCUACAUGAACUUUUUCUGUACCUUCUCUCUAGGAAGAAGAGUGAAUAGUGAUUCCGUCGCUGUUCAUCGGGCAAAUUUCCGGAAUCCGGCGGUGGAUUGUAGCAAACGUGGUGUCAAAACCCCUUCUCAUUCCGAACACUCCCCAGUUGGUAUCUUACCCAAAUCCAUAACCAUUUCUUCAAGAUCUUAAUUUUAUUUUGCAAAAUACUGUAGCU